GUGAUUAAUGGACCUUGAGGUGGAGAGCGAUGCCUGGAUCAUCCAGGUGGGUUCAAUCUAACACGUCCUUAAAAACAAAGACCCAUUCCUGGCUGCAGAGAACCAGAGAGACGGUGGUGUGAGGAGGACCUGGCUUGUCAUUGCUGGCUUCAAAGAUGGAGGAAGGAGCCAUGAGCCAAGAAAUGUGGAUUGCCUCUAGAAGCUGGAAAAGGCAAAGGAACAGCUUCUCUCCUAGAACCUCCAAAAAGGAAACCAUUUAGCCAGCUCCUUGAUUUUAGCCCAGUGAGAGCCAUUUCGCGCUUCUGAACUCCAGAACCGUAAGGAAUGCUAGUACCUACUUCUGAAGGUCCUGAGGGCUCAGUGAGUGAAUGGCAUAGCACAGUGGCACAGUCAGCAGAUGUGAAUUUCCUUCCAAAUCUGGAUUACCACCUGAAUUAGUGAAUACAAAUCAUAAAAUUAUUGAAGAAAAUAUUUCCUACCUGUGAGCCUAUGCGAAGCACACUAACCUGGCUCUGGAAGAGUCAGAUGAAGGCACCAUUCGCCUUCCCCUCCAUCCUUAAAUGUGCCUGCCGGGUCUGAGAGAUGUCCCGGAAAUCUCUGGAGUCUCUGCUCAUUUCCACCGCAGCAAGUGCUGAGAGCGCUGCCGACCGCUCCGCACACUGGUGAUGACCGCCUCCGCCAUUCGUCCACAUGGAUUCAUCUCGCGCAGCCGCCGACGGGAGCAGUGCAUUGAGGAGGGCGUGGGGAGAAAGCUGGGACAGGCAGCAGGGGGAUGCAGGGGGAGGGGACUGGAGACUGGUCUCGGGAACCUGUGAGGAGACUGAGACCACCGCCGUCUGUCUGCAAACAGCGGGCCAUCCCUUCCCAGUGCACUGGUGUUGGCUUUGGCCCCUGGGAGGCCAUACAUACAUAUACAACACACACCCCUAUACACACCCCACACCACACACUACACCCAUUUACACCACAUACUAUACGCUAUAUAUAUACACAUCACACACACACACACACCCCAAAUACAUGCUACACACACAACACACACAUGCACACCAUACACACAAACAGCACUCACACUCUACACUCACACCCCCCCCCCCCAAAAUCCCCCUUAUCACACACAGAGUUUCUCUCUCCUUCCCCCUUUGUCCCUCCCAGGGCUGAGCUGUGUCUGCUGUGCAUUUAUGUCUGUGUGACGUGCACACGUGUGACCCGAGUGGGGCAGCUGCAGCCGCACCCCUGAGCUGGGCCGGGAGCAGCGAGCGUCCUGCCCCUGACACUGGUGUCCCCCGCCGUCCCAUCCGGAGACCUGGGAAUGCGUGGGAACCCGGAGGAAGGGAGCUGGUUUUUCUCUAAGUUCUCAAUUCCAGAAAGUGUUGUUUCGGUAAAUUGCCCCCCUCCCCCCAACAAGCAAACAUCCAAGGGGAGAACAAGAACCACAGAUAACAGAAUAUUUUGCUAAGGUAAAUGCCAGAGAAAAACCAUUUUCUGUGUGUCUUCCGAUUUUGGAACUGUAUCUGUGUGAGGUAUCUUCGUCUUCUGUGAGCAUAACU
ensembl:lncRNA